rnacentral:rRNA from 1 species
AGUUCGGAUUGUAGUCUGCAACUCGACUACGUGAAGCUGGAAUCGCUAGUAAUCGCAGAUCAGAAUGCUGCGGUGAAUACGUUCCCGGGUCUUGUACACACCGCCCGUCACACCAUGGGAGUCGGGGGCGCCUGAAGUCCGGGACCGCGAGGACCGGCCUAGGGCGAAACUGGUAACUGGGGCUAAGUCGUAACAAGGUAAC